rnacentral:rRNA from 1 species
GACGGGGGGGGCAAGUGUUCUUCGGAAUGACUGGGCGUAAAGCGCACGCAGGCGGUCUGUUAAGUCAGAUGUGAAAUCCCCGGGCUUAACCUGGGAACUGCAUUUGAAACUGGCAGGCUUGAGUCUUGUAGAGGGGGGUAGAAUUCCAGGUGUAGCGGUGAAAUGCGUAGAGAUCUGGAGGAAUACCGGUGGCGAAGGCGGCCCCCUGGACAAAGACUGACGCUCAGGUGCGAAAGCGUGGGGAGCAAAC